UACGGGGGGGGCAAGCGUUGUUCGGAAUUACUGGGCGUAAAGGGCUCGUAGGCGGCCAACUAAGUCAGACGUGAAAUCCCUCGGCUUAACCGGGGAACUGCGUCUGAUACUGGAUGGCUUGAGUUCGGGAGAGGGAUGCGGAAUUCCAGGUGUAGCGGUGAAAUGCGUAGAUAUCUGGAGGAACACCGGUGGCGAAGGCGGCAUCCUGGACCGAGAUUGACACUAAAGCGCGAAAGCCAGGGGAGCAAACGGG
rnacentral:rRNA from 1 species